UGAGGAAUAUUGGUCAAUGGGCGAGAGCCUGAACCAGCCAAGUAGCGUGAAGGAUGACUGCCCUAUGGGUUGUAAACUUCUUUUAUAAAGGAAUAAAGUCGGGUAUGGAUACCCGUUUGCAUGUACUUUAUGAAUAAGGAUCGGCUAACUCCGUGCCAGCAGCCGCGGUAAUACGGAGGAUUCGAGCGUUAUCCGGAUUUAUUGGGUUUAAAGGGAGCGUAGAUGGAUGUUUAAGUCAGUUGUGAAAGUUUGCGGCUCAACCGUAAAAUUGCAGUUGAUACUGGAUAUCUUGAGUGCAGUUGA
rnacentral:rRNA from 1 species